CGGAAGUUGGACAGGCAGGUGGGAGGGGGGCACACAAAGCAGAGAGAACAACAAGAGCAAAGAGCUGAAGGCGAGGCUGCCAAAGGUAGGCUGGAGCCAGUUUGGAACAGGCUUUCUAGAUCUUAGUGAGGAGUGUGAAUUUUCUUCUACAUGCCGUGGUUUUUAAGCAGGGUGCUGCCAGGAGCAGCUCGGCGCCUUCGGAACAAGCCUCCUGGCCGUGUGUGGGGAAUGCAGUGGAGGAGGCCCUGAUCGAGGUCACAGAGGACAGCUAGGGGGCAGCUGCAGAAGUUCCUGUCUGUUACAUUUCCCAGAAUGGUUCCCAGCGCUGGAGAUAAUUCCUUUUCGGAGAACCUACAUUUCUCACCUGCUGAUUGCAAUUAGCCACUGCCAGCUGGGGCCUGGUAUGCAGCUGAAACGCUAACAAGAAGUGGAGACCACGCGGAACCCAGCCAGGGCAGAGGAUGUGAGUAAGUAAGGAAUGAUGUUGUCACUACCCUACCUGUAUUCCUUCAACACUUAUUGCAGUCCUCGCCAACAACAUCAUUUUGCGAGCACCCAAAACUCUCCACCUGAUGGAAUCACUUCGCUGAAGCAUGGGGAGGCCGGAAGUGCUAAGCGGUU